CAGAAGCGUGAGGGAUUGCAAUGGAAAUCCUUUAUGGAACGCAGUGGAGUAAAGAUUGAAGUGAAAAGCCCGACCCGCA
rfam:Flavobacterium fryxellicola strain DSM 16209 FBFR13, whole genome shotgun sequence.